rnacentral:rRNA from 1 species
AUUGAACGCUGGCGGCAGGCCUAACACAUGCAAGUCGAACGAGUCGCGGACGGGUGAAUAAUGUCUGUGAACCUGCCUGAUGGAGGGGGAUAACUACUGGAAACGGUAGCUAAUACCGCAUAGCAUAGGAUGUUCCCAGAUGGGAUUAGCUAGUAGGUGGGGUAGCGGCGGCCCUGGGCGACGAUCCCUAGCUGGUCUGAGAGGAUGACCAGCCAACCUGGAACUGAGGCACGGUCCUGACGCCUACGCGAGGCAGCAGGGGAGAAGAGGGGAAAAUGGGCGCAAGCGUGAAGCAGCCAUGCAGCGUCGAUGAAGAAGGGCUGCGGGUUGUAAAGUACUUUCAGCGGGUAGGCGGUACCUGCAGAAGAAGCGCCGGCUAACUCCGUGCCAGCAGCCGCGGUAAUAC